ensembl:lncRNA PARAIL palmitic acid regulated anti-inflammatory lncRNA
GGACGGCAAGGCGGGGAGAGGGGCAGCCCGCUCGCGGCCCUCCCGCCUGGCUCUCGCCUCGGCCUGCGGCCGGGAUCCUCCGCCCGGGUCGCGCAGCGGAGGCCGAGGGCUGGGACGGGCGGCUGGGAAGUGGGAAAGGGAGCUCCUUUUGUCUUCUCUUCCCAUCCCCCAGGUUUGGGAAAGUUUUCCUUUUGGGAAAGCCCCUCUCUUCAGCCUGCUGGCGGGUGUCGGAUUGGUUAGCGACCACCGGCCCCCGCCUCCCCCAACAGGAUUCUCCUUUGGGCCACAGGUCUUCCGGAAGUUGCCAAACCCCGGUAGCGGCAGCGUCCGGCUGGGGGCUUUAUUAGGGGGCACCGGGGUCUGCUUUCCGACUCCCUUCCGACUCCGCGCCUGCGCAGGAAGCGAUUUGGGGAGUGUUGUGAAUUCCGAGGGCUCCACACUUAAGAGGUUGUACACUCACCUGUCUACCUGGACUCCAAUUUCCAUAUUUCCAGCCACUUGAGGACUGAGAGGUGGAUGAUAAACCCUGUCAUAGUGGAGCAAGUUCAGGUGUUUAACCGCUGUUAUGGGGGAUCUGCCUUUUCUCCCUCUUCUUUCUUACUUCCAUAAGUAUGUAUGUGCAGAGAUUGAAAAAUAACCUUGAGAGAGUCCAUCCAUCUAACUCCAGUUCAUUGGAAAUUUCUGCUUCUUUGAGACUGAGGUUAUAUUCCACUUCUUCUGACUACACCACCACCAUCAAUCUCCUUCUCUGAACUCUUGGAUCAUUACUUCAACCUGAAACAACUCAUCAGGCAGAAUAGUUGCCUACUGCCCCAACCCCACCAAAUGUUCCAGCACCUCUGAUAUUACCUCACAUGGCAAGAGGGCUUUGAAGAUGUGAUUGAGUCAAGGAUCUUGAAUGGGGAGAUUAUCCUGAAUUAUUCAGCUGGACCCAGUGUAAUCACAAAGGUUUUUCAAAGAUGGAAGAGAGGCAGAAGAGCCAGAAAAGGAUAUGUGACAAUGGAGUCAGUGUCAGAGUUGGAGUGACGUGAUGUGAGAAGGAUUCAACCUGCUGUUUCUGGCUUUGAGGAUGAAAGAAGGGGCCAUGAGCCAAGCAAUACAGGUGGCUUCUUUCAAGAAGUUGGAAAAGUGGUAAUAUUUUAUGUUAUUUUGGUUUGAUUUUUGUUUGUGGCAUAUGGCUCUGCUGUCCUGUGACUCUAAGUAGAAGAGAAAAUAGUGCCAAUAAUUCUUCAUGGAGAUGCACCUCUCUCAAGUCUUGAACAAUGUUUGAGAUUUCCCCAGGCCACCAUCACUGGAUUUGGCUAUUUGACUUGCUGUAGUCAAUGGAAUGUGAGUGAAAAGUGACUCUGUACCAGUGGGGAGGCAAAGCCUUAAAAGACCCAGCAAAUUUCUUCCAGCCCUUUUGUGCUUCUGCCAAAAGAAUACUGUGAGCAAUCAGUGCCCUUAAGCCUGGGCCUCAGAACGAGAGAUAUGGAGCAAACCUGAACCUGAACAGCAGCCUACAAUCAAGCCAGGAUGACCCUGCAAAGCCCAGCCAACGAUAGCAAAGCCACAGCAGACUUGUAGACCAAUGAGCAUGAAAUAAAUUGCAUUGAAAGCUA